rnacentral:snoRNA from 1 species
AAACCAUGAUAAGGACACUGUAAGAGAAGGUCUUUGAAACAUUCCAUGAAUCGAGAAAAUGAUUCAUUAGGUUGUGGCGAAACAAGAGAAUGUCGUUCCUAAGUUU